rnacentral:misc_RNA from 1 species
GGGCAGAAGCAACGGCGUCUCAUUCUCCUAUAGCCCCGACAUAUGAUGGCCAAUCUAAACCAUAAACAUUGCCGUAACUGGGGAGAGCUCCCUAAUGUCAGAACCAAACCACAUGCUACGAUCUGCACCAAAACCUCACACUGAAGCAGAGCACUUGCAGACCAACAACUAACAAACACAAACAAAACUAAUCACAGAUACAAAAGAGGAAAGAAUAUCUUCCCCACCAGAGAGAGUCAUGCUCUCACUAAAACAAUAAUAAUAAUAAUAAUAGAUGGGGGAGAGGGUUGACGGCCUAGAAGCCAGACCUCUCC